rnacentral:lncRNA from 1 species
AUUCUAAGGCCAAAAAAAAAAAAAUAGGUGUGUUUCCGGUCGCCCGACCGACCCUAAUUUUUUGGCGCCGACCCUAACUUUUUUUUCCCGGAAAAAAAAAAAAAAAAAAAAAAAAAAUCGGAUUUUUUUUUUUUUUCGUUUUUUUUCCGGAAACGGUUUUUUGUUUAGUAUAGCCUUUGAAUGGCAUCUUUUAAACGUUUGAUUUCAAAUAAAAUUUUAAUACAGUAAGCAUUUGUGUGAUACAGAUUGAAGUCAAACAACGGCAUGGCUUCUGCUAUGGCCAUCAGUCAAAGUGUGUUAUCAAUAAAGUUUAACUAAAAACUCCACAUGAAAAAGGAUUAAAAAUUUAGUCAUUGCAUCAUGAUUCCAACACAUUGAUUUGUCAUGGACAGCAUUGGACUACUGUAUUUUUUAUUGGUUUCUAAUGUUAGUAUUUUCUACUUUUCGUAAUAUUUUCAUCCAACAACAAUAACAGUUUUUAUUGUCGAGCCUGCAACUUUUGUUGCAGAAAGCUCGACAUAGGGAUAGUGAUCCGGCGGCGGCGGCGGCUACGGCGGCUACGGCGGCGGCGUUAGCUCACUUCUUAAAAGCUUUAUAUUUUAGAAGGUGGAAGACCUGGAUGCUUCAUACUUUGUAUAUAGAUGCUUCAUGUUACGAAGUUUCCGUCAGUCACAUGUCCAAUGUCCUUGACCUCAUUUUCAUGGUUCAGUGACCACUUGAAAAAAAAGUUCAAAUUUUUUGUAAUGUUGAAUUCUCUCUUAUUAUAAGUAAUAGGAUAACUAUAUUUGAUGUGUGCGUACCUUGCAAGGUCCUCAUGCCCGUCAGACAGUUUUCACUUGACCUCGACCUCAUUUCAUGGAUCGGUGAACAAGGUUAAGUUUUGGUGGUCAGUCCAUAUCUCAGAUACUAUAAGCAAUAGGGCUAGUAUAUUCGGUGUAUGGAAGGACUGUAAGGUGUACAUGUCCAACUGGCAGGUGUCAUCUGACCUUGACCUCAUUUUCGUGGUUCAGUGGUUAUAGUUAAAUUUUUGUGUUUUGGUCUGUUUUUCUCAUACCAUAUGCAAUAGGUCUACUAUAUUUGUUGUAUGGAAUGAUUGUUAAGUGUACAUGUCUAGCGGGCAGAUGUCAUGUGACCUUGACCUCAUUUUUCAUGGUUUCAGUGGUCAAAGUUAAGUUUUGAGUUUGGUCUUUUUAUCUAAUGCUAUAUGCCAUAGGUCAACUAUAUUUGGUGUAUGGAAAUAUUUUAUGAUCUUUAUGUCAGUCGAGCAGGUUUUAUUUAACCGUGACCUCAUUUUCACGGUUCAUUGCACAGUGUUAAGUUUUUGUGUUUUGGUCUAUUUUUCUUAAACUAUAAGUAAUGUGUCAACUACAAAUGUAUAUAUGUUGUAUCGAAGCAUUGUUAGCUGUACCUGUCUGCCUGGCAUGGUUCAUCUGACCUGGACCUCUUUUUCAAGGUUCAUUGGUCUUUGUUUAGUUAUCUUGGUUAAUGUAAAGUUUAUGUGACAGUUGUAAUAAAGCUUAGCUUUAUACUUAAGACUAUCAACAUAAUAUCAAUGAUUAGUAUAGAAGGCGAGACAUUUCAGCGUGUGCACUCUUGUUGACAAAGGUCUAAGUCAUAGUGAAAAUUAUACAUUUAUUUUCAGAGCAUAAACAUUGUUUUGCACAUUUAAGAUUUAUACAAUUGAUUGUUGAUACAUGUUAAUUUUGCAAUUGUGAUAAAUUUGUUUUUUAUAUCAUUCAAUGACUAUUUGCAUUCUACAAAAUGCAAUAUUUGCCUCACAUUAUUUGAAUGUUUCGGUUGUUUCGAUGUUUAUAAUUUGUUCAGAAUUUUAUAGGAAUAAAAUUGACAGUAUAACAAGUUUACAAUGUUUUGGCAUUUACUUCUGACAGUCUUUUCUAAUACAAGAGGGAAGCCAAACGUUCAAUUUAGGAUUAAAUUUAAUUUUAAUAUCUGAUAUUUGCUCAACCAUAGCCCCAAAACUCAAUUUGUAAUUGAUUUUCUUUUAAACAGCUAGUAUAUAAUCAAAAUUUCAAAGAUUUUCACCCAUCCCUCUAUCAUGUUAUUAAUAUUUGGUAUUUGUAGAAAAGCUGGCAUCAGUUCUGUGAACUAAAUUGUCUGAAAGAAACUGAUUAUAAAACAGGUCUUUGCUGAGACAGACUUUGAUGGGCUUUCUGUGUAAGACUAUAGCCUGACCCGUACAGAUGGCAUAUCAGUUCUGAAAAGUUUGAAAAUUUUAUAAGCUGGAAGUCCUGGCCAAGUCUUCUGCAACUUUUGAACAUGGACUAUUCAUAUCUUGUAUACUUUAUACAAUGAACUGAUGAAAAUAACCUGAAAGAAUAACAAACUGAUUAUAAAAAUACACAAAAAACAACCGAAGCAGGCCAGUAAAAAAAAAAAAAAAAAAUACCUACCUACCGACCCUAAUUUUUUGGGGCAUGCAACAGGAAACACACCUAUUUUUUUUUUUGGCCUGAUCGAACAA